rfam:Brachypodium distachyon strain Bd21 chromosome 3, whole genome shotgun sequence.
CACAUACUCCCUUCUUCCAACAAAAGAUAUCUCAAUUUUGACUAAAUUUGAAUGCAUCUAUACACUAAGUCAUGUCUAGAUAUAUCCAAAUUUUGACAAACUUGAGACAUCUUUUGUUGGACGGAGGGAGUAUCAU